AUAUAUUUAAUAGUCAAUAAAAUAAAGACUAAGCAAUGACUGCUGUGUUAAAGUAUUCUUCCUUUUACAGUUUUUCAGAGUGUUUAUAUAUAAUGCUUUCAUUUGAUCCUCACAGUAAUCUCUAAGUAGGAAAUCAUUAUCUCCAGUUUCGUAAUUCGUAUACAAUAUGUUGUACAGAUCUUCAGUGUACAGUUCAGUGAGUUUUGACAAAUGUAUACAUCCAUGUAGCCACUACCCAAGUUGAGAUAUAGAAUAUUUUCAUCUUCCUGGAAAAUUCCUUUGUGACCCUUUUCAGUCAGUUCCUACAUCUCCCUCCCACUAUUACCUUCUGAUUUUUAUAAACAGACUAGUUUUGCCUGUCUUAGAAUUGAUAAGAGUAGAAUCCUAUAAUAGGUACUCUUUUGUGUCUUGCUCUUAUUCACUCAACACAAUGAUUUUGAGAUUCGUUGGUGUGUCAUGCAUCAGUUGUCGGUCCCUGCUCAUUGCUGAGGUAGUAUUCCAUUGUAUGAAUAAGUUAUGAUUUUUUAUUUUUUCUCCUUUUGUAGAAUUUGGGUUGUUUUCAGUUUUUUGGCUGUUAUGAAUAAAGAUGCUAUGCAUGUUACUGUACACGAUUUUUAUGGAAAACGUUUUCAUUUGUCUUAGGUUCAUCUAGGAGUAGAAUUGCUGGGUCAUCAAGUAGAUGGAUACUUAACUUUAUAAGCAACUACCGGACGUUUCCCAUUUUACACUCUGCCAGCAAUAUGAGAGUGCCUGUUGUUCCAUAGCCUCCCCAACAUUUAGUUUUUUAAGUUAUUCUUUCUAAUGAGUGUGAAAUGGUCUCUUAUAGGAUUUUUUUUUUUUUUGGCAUCCUCUGUGGUAUGUUGAGUACCAUUUCCUGUACUUUGUCAUUGAUAAAUCAUCUUUUGUGAAGAGUUUUUCCAUUUACUCAUUUAAAAAAUUUGAAUGUUUGCCUUUUAGUUAUCAAUUUGAGUAAUUAUAUAUAUAGUCAGAUACAUGUAUUGUGAAUAUAGUCCCUGUCCCCACCCCAGUCUCUGACUUACCAAUUCAUUUCUUUAAUGAAGGUGGCUUUUGAGAAACAAAAAUUUUAAAUUUUGAUGAAGUAUUUCUGGUUCUUCAACCUAGUAAGAUGGAUAGUUUCUCUCCAGUUCUGCAGCCUUAGGGCCUCCCUCAGGCUAAAAGCCAUAAAAGAACUGGAAUAUUGCCCACUGCCUUUCUCUUCCAAGUGUUUAUUUCCCUCUAACAUCUGCCUGCUUUUGGUCAUAAUCCAAUACCUUCAGGAAGUUGUCCAGAGUUAGUUUUUUUCUCCAACAGGGUCGAUUGAAAUAGGAUCUACUCAGCCAUUCCCAAGUCUUUUUCUUUAAAUAUUUUGCCUUUAACAUGUAAGUCCUUACCUCAUGGGAAUUUAUUUCUCUGCAUAUGUGUGGUAGAAAUCUGAUUUCUUUUUUAAUAUGGAUAAUUGUUUAUUGAAUUUCCCCAGUGAUCUGCAGUCAAACGCUCUACCACUGUCCCCACUGAUUCUGUGAUACCAACCCCAACAUUUUUUUAACAUUCUGUAAUGAUGAAUCUUUCUGGAUUCUGUUGCAUUCCACACUUUUCAUAAUUGUUACUUCUUUAUAAUAAGUCUUGAUAGCUGGUAGGACAGCUGUUUCUUUUAUUAGGUAUCUUUGGCCUUUUGCUCGUCUAUUAUAAAUGUUGUAAUUUUCUCCAUAAAGGUUUUAUACAUCUUUUAUUAUAUUUACUUCUAAGUUGCUUAUAAUUUUAGUUAUUAUUGUCUGUGCUAUCUUUGUGGAACUUGAAUUUUUCUGUAUGUAUAAGUUUUUUUCUGAACCAUUUGAAAGUAUGUUGUAGGCAUGCCCGUUUAUUCCUAAAGCUUCAGUAGGUAUUUCCUAAAAAUAAGAACAUUCUCUUACAUAACCUCAGUACAUUUAUUAAAAUCAGGAAAUUAUUAUUGAUACAGUACUAUUAUCUAAUUUACAGACUUUCUAUCAAAUUUCAACAACUGUCCAUAUAGAAAAGGGGAAAGAAAACCAUUUUUGGUCCUGAUCCAUCAUACAUUACCCUUAGUUGCCAUUUCUCUUUAGUUUCUUUUGAUCUGCAACAAUUCUUCCGUCUUUAUCUCUCAUGACCUUGUCAUUUUUUGAAGUAUACAGGUAGAUUAUUUUGUGGAUUGCCCCUUACUUUGAGUUUCAGUUUUCGGUUUCCUCAUACUGUCAGACUAUCUGUUUUUGGCAGAAUGCCACGUGUGACCUUCUUAGUGUAUCCCAUUAGAGGCACAUAAGGUCUUUUUAAGCCAUUACUGGUAAUAUUAACUUCAAUCACCUGAUUAAGGCCAUGGCUGCCAAAUUUCAUAAACUUACUGUUUUUCCUCUAUGUAAUUGAUGUAUAUCUUGAUUCAGUUAAAAAAUAGAUAUAGGACUAUUCAGGGUUUUGUCUUCAUGUUUCUUGAGUUUGUUUUUGCUAAGACCUGUGAUGUCUCCCUCCAGUGGGCCAUUUGAUCUUUAUAACGAUUAUAAAUGAGCAAGCAGAGACAGAUGAGUAAAAUGAGUCUAAUUUGAGAUUCCAGUCCAGAUCUUGACUUCAGGGCUCUGAGACAUUUUUGUUUUUACUGGCAAGUUUGGAAUUACCCCCCCCCUUUUUUUUAAAUUAAAUUUAUAUUUUAUUUAUUUUGGGGUGUGUUGGGUCUUUGUUUCUGUGCGAGGGCUUUCUGUAGUUGCAGCGAGCGGGGGCUACUCUUCAUCGCGGUGCGCGGGCCUCUCACUGUCAUGGCCUCUC